UACGGAGGGGGCCAGCGUUGUUCGGAAUCAUUGGGCGUAAAGGGCGCGUAGGCGGCCGAGCAAGUCGGAUGUGGAAAUACCCCGGCUCGAACUGGGGAACUGCAUCCGAAACUGCUUGGCUUGAGUCCUGGAGAGGGUGAGUGGAAUUCCCAGUGUAGCGGUGAAAUGCGUAGAUACUGGGAGGAACACCGGUGGCGAAGGCGGCUACCUGGACAGGUACUGACGCUGAGGCGCGAAAGCUAGGGGAGCAAACAGG
rnacentral:rRNA from 1 species